UCAAUCAACCACUUUAAAUCUAAAACUUUAGUCAGGGACACGUCUUCAGUUUUUUCCAAUUAAAUCACAGUUAAUUUCAAUAUUUCGCAUAAUUAAAUAAAAAUAAAGAACAGAAGAGCGGAUUGUCAAAGAGACGCUCAAGGACUAAAGAUCCAAUAAAUUCCGGAGAUAGGAUGACAGACAGCGGGCCUGACGCGGGGAGAUUUUUCAAAGCCACGCGCAGGUUCGUACGCUUCAGCUUGGAACUGUUCUGCACGAGCCUCCUGGAAACAAGCGGAAAUAAAGUGCGCUUUUAAAACAGCGGAAAUGCACGCGGCGAAAACCGACAGUUUGCAAAACGGCUCCCCGCGAGACACAUUUUCUGACGGCAGGACUCGUUUCUGCUUCCGCGGACGCCGGAGAGCGCGAGAUGAAUCCGGAGCCACGCCGGGCACGAGGGGAUUCAUAGGAAGUGUUUAUAUCACCGAAACCCGAUGAAAACAGCAAGUCGAACAUUAACUGAGCAGAGAGAAGAGAAGGAGCAAGAGACCCGCGAAACAUUAAAGCAGGAAAAUGCUUCCGACUCGCUUCGUCUUGCCCUCCGGCGUCAAAUCCAGCUCCAUGGAUAAAGGUGUUCCCGUAACUGUCGUACCCCGAGAUGAGCCGGGACGCCGCCCCCGUGGCGAUGGCGAAGCCGCAGAUGCACCACUGGGGGGGGUAAGGGGGGGGUGUUAGGGUUAGGGGCUGUCAUUCACCCACAGACAGGAGGAGCUUCCUGUGCAAGGUCACCAUUCUAAUGAUGCGUUCAGCCGGUCUUCAGCUCGGUAAAGCAGAAAACAUCCUCGUUUACCUCGUUUACCACCAGGAAGUUGCCAACAAAUGCCAGCGGUAAACUGGUGCAGGUUCCAUGAUAUCAGAGUUAACCGGUUGUGAUGUAUCACUGACCUCAGUCAGCCCGCUGUUACCAGUUUCUGGACAAUAGCAACAAUGUACCAGGUUACAUGGUAAAUAUAUCCAUAUAACUUUCAUUUAUUUAUCUGUCAUAAUGUGAUUAGGCAAACGUCAGGACUCAGCAGAGUUCAUGCCUGGCUUCCGUUAUUUACGUUUUGCAAUGGGCGAUCCCAUUGGUCCAGCCUCCUGACAUCUGAGCAGACCCUCUGCAUUGUUCACGUGAUUAACUUGCCAGUUGCCGAUGACCACACGAACGCAAACAGCUAGGAUGUACGACUUGGUCACGUGCUAAUUGUUUCCCACUUCACGAGACCGACAGAAAGCAGCAUGAGUGAGCUGGGCCCACGUGCAGCCGGCAGUGCGGCUCAGCGAGGCUCCGAUCCGUCAUAGCGAACCUCCGAUCCGUUUCAGGAUUUCACGCCCACUUCUGCUCUUAGUCGUUUAAUCACUUGUUUAAUCACGGACUAUUCGCUGGACAGAAAUGUUAUCGCUCAUUUGAGUUUCAGUUCUGAUCUUAGUUAUUUAUUAGCCGGGCCAUCUAUACGAACUGGCAUUUUUGAUACUGUAGCUUCGUGAGCUGCAACUUGCACAUGUAUCCUUGCUGAAGUUGUUUUUUCGUUUUUUUUUUUUUUUUUGGACUGUGGUAAACUCAUGUAGGACAAUAGUAAAAUGCAACUGUAUAAAAACAAUGCAAAAUUUAAAAAAUUAAAUAAAAAAAAACAGCAGACAAUAACACUCC